rnacentral:lncRNA from 1 species
CCAUUCCUGUGUUUUAUUUGGCUAAGUGUAGGGAGAGGCCAGAGAUGUUCAGUCCCUCCCAAGAGUUGGGCACGAUAGUUCUACUGGGCUGAGAUUGGUAAGAAGCUGUCCAGUGGAUCCCUGUUUCAAGACAGAUGAUCUGAUCAUUGCAUACAAAAGAAAAACCUUGUAUGCCACACACGGCAGGCUGUCUCUGUUGCAACUUCAAUGUGCCAGAAGGGAGGCUGGAGCUGAGCUGAGCCCAAACCUUGCAACCCCACAGCAAUAAGUACACAUGGACCUCCUCCGCUCUGAUGUGGAUGCCACACCUGCACUGAACACCUGUGUGUCACUGGAGCCUGGGGAAUGCUGAAGGAGCAUGGGAACUGCCCGAGCGAUUGUUGAGACAUGCUGAUGCUGGGAAAAAGAAUGAUGCUGACUGUGUAUGAGCUUGCCAAAUCCCCUGACAAUGGUGAUAGGGAAGCUAUAUUAGACGUAUGUCCCUGACCCACCUUUACCUGCCCAUAUCCAUGACUGGACAACCUGCCUCAAGCUUUCAGACCUUUUGGACAGAGAACAUGAGACUGUAGAAACUGCCUUCAAAAAGUUAAUCGAAUAGAGAAGUUAUAAUGACCCCCUCUCUUUCCUUUAAUGUGACCAGUUAUUCUGACUCAAUCACGGCCUAGUCUGGAAAUCAAUUCCAUAUUUGGGGAAAAAAAAGUAACAGUCUUCAUUUGGAAGGCUUUUUCUGAUCAUUUGCAAAGACAUAUUUGAAAACUGACAGCUGCCUUGUAUGAAGUGACAUUUGUAGUAGAUAAAAUUGGGACAUUAUCUUGAUUUUGAGCAAAUAUUACUGGGUGUGUUAAGGCUCCUAAUUCUUUUUUUUUUUU